rnacentral:lncRNA from 1 species
AUAAGGAAAUUGAGGCCAAAGGAAAUAAAAUUACUGGCUUACAGUCACGUGGUGAUGAAUGGAAAAGCUUGGAUUUGAACUAUCAACCGAAGACUUGAAAUUCAAAAAAAACUCUCUUUGAAUGAGUCAAUCCGGAAAUUCCUUGAAGAGGAUGUUGUCAACAUGAAUGAUGAUGCAGCAAAGAAGAUUGAGGGGAAGUAAUAGAGACAUUUAUGGGCAAUCUAAAUUGUGUAGCAGAUUUGGGCACUCAAGCUGUGACUUGACUUACUUGAAUCUGCUCUAUGAUUUGCAAAAUGGGAGCUGAGGAAGUAUCAAAAGAUGUUACAAAAAAGCCAUCAAGAAUAUAUAUAUAUCCAAGGGAAAGAAGAGGAAAAAUCAGUAAACUUGAUGAACACAUUGACAAAGUUUGAAAUGAUAGAAGUACCUCUAUUCCUGGAUUUCCCAAAUUGUGUGCUCUACCAGCAUUCCUGUGAUCUUGUCAUCGAACAAAAGGAUUUAAGGGGAGCAAUUCGAACUAGACAAAGAUUUGAAGGAGGAAGAAAGAAAGGAUUCCUGAUUCAUAUGACAGUCCCUCUGUACAUUAUCAUUGAAGCCCUUACUGCUCUUCUGUCUUCAAGCCAAUACCCAGUAUUGAUUCUAAGAUGGAAGAUACUGCACGAAGUAUUGAAGAUUCUGAGACCAAAAGAAAAAACAGUCACCUUCCCGCAGGGAAAUUUCAUUCUACUGGAGGAAACAGUAUGACCAUAUAGAAAUAAAUAAAGCAAGAGAGAUGAGAAGCAGCACUUCAAGGAUUCAGUCCUUUUUGUUGUUGAUAUGAUGUGUAGCAAAAUGGUUUGGUGAAUAUAAUGUUGGACAUGAAGCCAGGAACCCCAAGUUCAGAUAUCACCACAAAAUCCUGCUAGCUCUGUGCUGGGUAAGUCAUUUUCCCUCUGCUUGCCCCAGUUUACUUCAUCUAAUAAUAGCACCCACCUCCAAGGACUAUUGUGAGGAUAAAGCUACAUCUUAUUUGUAAAGCCCUAUCUAAACCUUAAAGUACUAUAUAAACGACAUUCUUAUUAUCUUUGCUCUAAUUGUUGUUACCCUCUCCUUUCUGAUUCACACUAUUCUCAAUU